rnacentral:rRNA from 1 species
UACGUAGGAGGCGAGCGUUGUCCGGAAUUACUGGGCGUAAAGAGCGCGUAGGCGGCGCGGUACGACCGCUGUGAAAGCCCCCAGCUCAACUGGGGAGGGUCAGCGGUAACGGCCGUGCUAUGGAGUGCAGGAGAGGGAAGUGGAACUCCGGGAGUAGCGGUGAAAUGCGUAGAGACCCGGAGGAACACCAGUGGCGAAGGCGGCUUCCUGGUCUGCGACUGACGCUGUGGCGCGAAAGCUAGGGGAGCAAACGGG